rnacentral:rRNA from 1 species
GAUAGCCUUUCGAAAGAAAGAUUAAUACCGGAUGGCAUACGAAUAUCGCAUGAUAUUUUUAUUAAAGAAUUUCGGUUAUCGAUGGGGAUGCGUUCCAUUAGUUUGUUGGCGGGGUAACGGCCCACCAAGACUACGAUGGAUAGGGGUUCUGAGAGGAAGGUCCCCCACAUUGGAACUGAGACACGGUCCAAACUCCUACGGGAGGCAGCAUG